AAUCCCACCACCACCAAUUACUUUGAUUCUUCUGUUUUAAAAUUGGUCCAAUAAUGCAUUUUAGAAUAGGUCAAUACUGCCUGCUACAUAGAGUAAUAUGUGUAAUUUGUUUCUAUUCAUCAUGAUCACAUAGUUAAGAACAAUAUGCUUAAAAUCUCAACUUGUCACUGUGAAGAAUGAUAUGUAAAAUUAGCGAAAGAAUUUCUAGAAUUUCUAUAUGGGCAUAAUAUUUGUAAAAGAUACAUGUUCUUGCCUCCUGGUUUACCAUGGACAAUGUAAUACCUUGGAUGUAUUAUUCAUUUGUAUUAAUUUGUUGGAACAGCACACCUGUACACUAUAUUGUGUAUUUACCAACACAAAAGAGACUGUCUCUGUGCCUAGGCUGAAAAAUUUCUCACUGUCCCCUGCAGCACCAUUCAGAAAAGAAGUUAUUAGAGAAGAAGAGCAUGGUUUUCAUUCAUGCCUCACCAAAUCACUUUUCUUUUGAAUAUUAAUUCUUCAUAAGCAGCACCAGAAAAUAUUUAUUGAGUAUCUGUAUGUGAAAAGUAUUGUGGAGUUGUUACAAGAAAAACUAAUAACACACAAUAUCAUUAUACUAUUUUAAAUUCAACUAUCACCCCUUAGGGACAGUUAGCAUCGAGGGGCCCAAGGGGGAAACAUGGGGGUACAUCCUCCUGCCAAUGUCCUCUGUGAACUUUGCCCAUUAAAAUAUUUAAAUGCAUUAUGCAACAUCCUCAAAAAAAAAAAAAAAAAAAAAAACACCACUGCCCUGGGAAUCAGGAACCCUCUCUCUGUUUCCCUUUUGAAAGUAACACACAUCCUUGUGCCUCAGUUUAUCCUUUUAUUCUUUCUUACCUAGCAUAACUGGAGAGCCAAGGGGAAAAAAAACCAAACAAACAAACAGAUUAUUUCACUUGAGUACUGGUGUAUAUUGGACUCACAUAGAGAUCCUUUAAUCCUUUUAGAGCCCGAGGGCUAUAUUUAGCACUAUAAUUAGUAUAAAAUUAUUAGCUCAUAUUAAUUAUUCACCCUC
rnacentral:lncRNA from 10 species